rnacentral:tRNA from 3 species
UCAAUCUCCCUAAGAC